rnacentral:lncRNA from 1 species
CAGAAUUCCACUGAAUGCAGUCACCUGCAAAGUCUUUGUUUCCCUUUCACAAAGAGAGAGACUGAGCUGGCAGAGCCCCCUCCCCUUCCUCCUGCCUGAAAAAUGGACCUGACACCCAGAGGUACAGCAACUGUCUUGACUGUGGGACAAAGCUACACUCUAAGGGUGGCUAUGCAUUCUGAGUAAGGGACGCUCACCCACCCUGGACAACACAUUAGACAAAAAGGAUGGCUCUGAGCCUCCUGGAGUUGCCAGGCAACCUCCCUAUCCCCCCUCUGCCUGCCUUGGGCUGGCUCAGGUGUCAGGGGACUGUUCAGAGAGAACUUUCAACCCCCAGAAAGCUCACCUGAGGCUACAGAUGUCCACCAAGCGUACCCACACUUGCUAUUCUCUCCUACGUGGGAUCGUCUACACCCUGGGUGUGAACUGAUUUUGCACUUCGAGUGCAGAAAAAUAUGUGGGUGUGUGAAAAAUAAAGCAAGCACUUG